UAUUUGAUGUCCAAAUUGAGCUAGAAUAGGAUUCUUAGUUGCCUAACUUACUAGGAUGUCCAUUAGAACUCUAAAUACUUGAGUUUAACUUGGAUCGGGAGGCUAGUUCUAAGACUCUAUUAAAACCCUCUUGGGAUAUAUUUCAAUAAUGGAAUUCUUUACUUUCUUUCAUAGAUUAGGAACCCUAGAUUAGAUUAGAAUUGAAGAUUGA
rnacentral:lncRNA from 1 species